AAAAGAGAGCUUGAUUGCAAGACAUACAGGUCGAGCAAGGAUGAAAAUCGGACUUAGUGAUCCGGUGGUUCUGCGUGGAAGGGCCAUCGCUCAACGGAUAAAAGCUACCCUGGGGAUAACAGGCUUAUCUCCCCCAAGAGUCCACAUCGACGGGGAGGUUUGGCACCUCGAUGUCGGCUCAUCACAUCCUGGGGCUGUAGUAGGUCCCAAGGGUUGGGCUGUUCGCCCAUUAAAGUGGUACGCGAGCUGGGUUCAGAACGUCGUGAGACAGUUCGGUCCCUAUCCGUCGCAGGCGUAGGAAAUUUGAGAAGACCUGUCCUUAGUACGAGAGGACCGGGAUGGACGUACCUCUGGUGUACCAGUUGUCCUGCCAAGGGCAUGGCUGGGUAGCUAUGUACGGAAUGGAUAAGCGCUGAAAGCAUCUAAGCGCGAAGCCAACUUCAAGAUAAGAUUUCCCACCGCAAGGGUAAGACCCCAGAAAGACUAUCUGGUUGAUAGGUCGAAGGUGUAAGUGCAGCAAUGUAUUUAGCUUAUCGAUACUAAUAGGUCGAGGACUUGACCAAU
rnacentral:rRNA from 1 species